AGCAAUAUCAAACUGCAGAAGUAAGUCAAUGUAUCAACAGGAUGGACAAGAAAAAAGUCUUGUGUUAUUCCGCCAUGAUUAAUUUGCGAUACGCACGCUGGUGUAAACAUGCGUACUAAAGUACGGCUAAAUGGCGAAACAAGCGAUAAAUAUUCGACUUUUUAGCCUCGAGCAAAUUCCCCACCCCGGGGCUAACCUGCAGAAAGCAAAUGCCCGACCCUGGGAACAAGUACAGUUGAGAAUGCCCGACAAACGCCCGGGGGGGUGUUGGGCACCCAUGGAAUUGAUUGAGACAUUACACAACAUUGAUAAGGGGGAUAGUAGCCUGCGAACAGGCUCUCAAGCUGAAUUGAGAGCCUGCAUCGAUGACUAAUGAAUUUGAAUCUGUAACGUUCGUUUGUCCAAAUAUGGAAUGUCUAUCCUUAUAUGGUGUUGUUUACAACUUUCGUGCAAACUAAAUUUAGACCGUGCAAACUAAAUUUAGACCGUACAGUUUAUACUGUUUUUCGAAAUAUAAGAUAUUCAAGCAAAAGUUGAAAUGUUUUAAAUACUGUUUUCUCAAAACAGAACAUUUCGUGCUUUGAGAUAAGAUGGCCAAGACCAAUUUGAUCAGUUACUGUAAUGUGUAUUUUAUGCAUAGUGCUUGCAGUUGACAUAUAUAGAGCUCAGCGGAAACAUAUAAAUUAUAGCAUCUGACCAAUGAGAAUUUAGCGUCACGAUUUGAGACGCAGAGAUUCAAAUUCAUUAGUCAUCGAUGCAGGCUCUCAAUUCAGCUUGAGAGCCUGUUCGCAGGCUAGGGGGAUAGGGGGUGUUUGGACAUGAAAUUUUGCAUAAAAUGGGCAAGUAUGUAUAUGGUAAUCAGAAAUGAAGUAAAGGUUAUGCUAUUUCGACUAAGUGCACCAAUGAUUUUUGACCAGGAUUGUAGAUAUUUGCAUAAUCUCCAGACAAACACAGGUAACGAUUUCAUUUUGCCGAGUAAAUAUAAGGAUUUUUAUCUCACUCAAUAGAAUUAACGAAAUGUUGAAGGGUUUUUGUAGAUGGAAAUUUCGAGUGUAAAUUUCAUACAUUUUUAAAGCCAGCUGACCAGGAGCAGCUGCGAAAAGUGGAAC